AAAUUGAAGAGUUUGAUCAUGGCUCAGAUUGAACGCUGGCGGCAGGCCUAACACAUGCAAGUCGAACGGUAACAGGAAGCAGCUUGCUGCUUCGCUGACGAGUGGCGGAUGGGUGAGUAAUGUCUGGGAAACUGCCUGAUGGAGGGGGAUAACUACUGGAAACGGUAGCUAAUACCGCAUAAUGUCGCAAGACCAAAGAGGGGGACCUUCGGGCCUCUUGUCAUCGGAUGUGCCCAGAUGGGAUUAGCUUGUUGGUGGGGUAACGGCUCACC
rnacentral:rRNA from 1 species